rnacentral:rRNA from 1 species
UACGGAGGGUGCGAACGUUGCUCGGAAUCAUUGGGCGUAAAGCGCACGUAGGCGGCGGCGUAAGCGGGGUGUGAAAGCCCAGGGCUCAACCCUGGAAGUGCAUCCCGAACUGUGUCGCUUGAAUCUCGGAGGGGGACAGAGAAUUCCCGGUGUAGAGGUGAAAUUCGUAGAUAUCGGGAGGAAUACCAGUGGCGAAGGCGCUGUCCUGGACGAAGAUUGACGCUGAGGUGCGAAAGCGUGGGGAGCAAACAGG